AUAUUACGAGAAGUCAGAUACUUAAGCGGACGACUUACAUAGGUGUUUUUGUUUAUAUUCUAACAUUUUUAAAAGUUUCCUGAUCUGCUUAUGCAUAUAAUAAGUGUUUGGUUUUAAAUUGCUACACAAUUUUAAUACUCUUGGGAAAGUUGCGAAUCAAUACAUAAAAGUUCCAGUGUCCAAUUGAGUGAAAAAGUGUCGCAAGGAACGACAUAAUAAAAUUUCACAUGUUCCACAAACAAAGUGAUCGAUUACCGAUCUUGAGGCGAAUUUCGAAUAUAUACUUUAGUGUCGGGAAGGGGGGGUUUAGGUUAGUUGAGAGUGUCGAUCAUAAUCAGCUAACGAUAUUGCCCAACGAUCUGCAAACACACUCGUUUUUCAAGUCGCGGACGUGGACGAGGGUCUAAUUGAAUCACAACACCCUCUCCAAUUGUGAUCACUUCGUCAGUAGUUUCUCUUGCCCUCCAAUCACCACCGUUUCCUCCAUCCGUUAAUUGAAUUCUGAGGCCAAACCCUGGGCUGAAAAUCUCUCUGGCCCUGGAAAUGGAGACGUCGUCUGGGUCUCUGAUGAACUCAAUUUGCGCGAGAGGAAAAUUAAGUCGAGUCGAGAGUCGAGUCUCCAUCUCGAUCUCAAGUGGCGGCUGCUUAAAUAUUUGCACACGAGUCGAGGAAUUCGAGAAACCGGCACGAAUGGGCAUUCCAGAGGCUACAAGUUCAAAAUCACAUACGAUUGUGCCAAGUAUGCCACAGAGCUGUAUUUGAAAAUGUUUUGGAAAAAGCCCCUUAAAACAAAAAACAAAAAAUCAUUAAUAACAGCAGUACCUUUGCAAUUUGACUUGACUUUGUUCGAAAUAUAUUGUCAAGAUAAUGUCCAAGUACAGUGGAAUUAAGAUAGGGGAGAACAAAUGUCUCAUUGCAAACAUGGGAAAUAAAUAUAGAAAGUCAUAAUACGUUAUUGCCCACUUUUACUACGCUAAAGUAUAGUACAUUCUGCUUUAUCGGCCGGGGCCUUAGAAUUCCGGAUGCAUCGCAGACGCGGUGGCCAACCCUUUGGGGUUGAAUCAAGUGAAUCAAGUGACGUUCAUUGAGUUGACUUGCGGUUAGGAAAUUGAAUUAAAGCGCAAUUGCGUUUCCUGUCAAGUAAAAAGUCGCGCACACGCACUGUAAAAUCCGUAGAAUCACUGACCAUAAAAACCCCCCAGGGACUAAGCCUCUGAAUUACGCUCAAUUAGGCGGCAAUUAUGAUAUUUACUAUUUAAGUUAUAUAUGUCCUUUUGGUCCUGAAAUCUAUACGCAUUUAAAUUAAAAAAAGGUGUCCUUUAACAGGAAAAAUAGAAUAGUUAUGUUCGAUAAGUUAUUAUCACAACUUACUAUUACUAAAUCCACAAUCUAGGGUCUUAAUAAUGACAGCUGGCAAUGGAAUUGUGCACUCUUUCAAUUAAUAUUCAUACUCUUCAACUGGACAAUAAAAAUUUUUAAGGAUUUUUGCAAUCGUUGGGCCCCAGCAAUGCUUUCAAAAUGAAUGUAUGUACAUGCUACAUGUAUUUUGGCAUAUCGUUAUCGUUAUUUUGGCCACAAUCACAUGUGCCAAUAAUAGUUAGCACAUUUCAUGGACUUGCAUUUAUGCAAUUGCAUUGACUUGAAUUUAAUCGAGGCACAACCGAACGAAUCGAAAGCUAGUCUUGCAAUGUACUACUUCACAUCGUACUAGUAACUGGGUUGAGUGCCGAUGAACUCCAUUGAUUACCCGAUUCGAAACGGUUUUCUUAUCGCCACCUGGUAUCGGUACAUUCGAUAAGAUAACAAAAUGAGUCCGAUUGCCUCACCAUCACCACCCAAUUGACUCAACUCUCGCAGGAUGACACAUGUGUAUUUCGUUGCCAGAGCUUUUCAAAAGUAUUACUCCAUGCAGUUUACACAGCCGAAAGGCAUUAACGGUAAACUUAAUGACUAACUGGAGUAUUUAUGUCUGGGGAAAUCAGUCAUGGUGGAAAUUUGCGAGUUAAAGUUUUACUUCGAUAUAUCGCACAUUUUAAAUUCGUAUUUUAUGCAUAAAAGAAGAAUGAAACUAUUGUUUGAGAAAGGUUUUUGUUAGUUUUCUAAGCUAUUAAUUAAUAUAUUUUUUUUUUUUAUCUCUUAUAAAAAUGAUUAGAUCCAACUUUCAGCAGACUUAGCUUAAACCAGGAGUAUAUCCAACAUUUUAGGGCAUAUUUUGACCGUUUAUUCUAAAUGCGUUUUUUUUUUCCAAAAAAUGUCUAUUAACGAAUUAACUACAAGCUUUCCAGAGAUUUAGCAAUUCUUAUCUGUUGCAAAAUUGUCACCGACUUUCUUUCAGAGCCCGAAGUUCAUUGUUAAAAGCGAAGCUCGUUUAGCCAAAAACUUCGUUCGCCUGAAAAAGCGAAAAAGUAGUCGUACAUGUAGAAUGCUGAGGGCACUUGAUGGGGUUAAUGUUUUUAGCCUGCUCAUUGCUUUCUACUACUUGAAAAGCGGGCAUUUGCUUUGCUUUUUGUUCUGCGCCACCUCUUUCCAUACACUUGGCACAAUUUUCGAUCAACGUUUCGUAAAAGUAAAAGUUCCUUGAGUGAAACCACCGAUCUCAAAAUACAAAUUGCAAGUCUUAAAAGGUUCAAAGAAAACCGAUUUAACUUAGAUUCCGAAGGGAUUAAUGAAUUUGUUUCUAUAUUCAUUAGUUCUCGUUUGAAUUCUUAGUAAGCAUAUCCAAUUAACACCUAAAAGUGUUCGUUUUCCAGAGACUUCACUGUGGCCUGUAGCAAAUUUCGAAUACCUUUUUGUAACAAUGACUUUGGGGUUGGACUUUUUGUCGCUUCGAAACAGUUUUUACGACAAACGCCAACUAAAAACAGAUUUUUAUUUAACGUUUGCUUUUCUCCGACGUCAUUUAACCUUGAAGUAUCGAAAUACGACGAUGACGAGCAGCGGACAUAAUGGAUAUGGAUAUAUGGCAAGGUGUCUGCCAAUUUAAAUACGUAUGUACAUAUGUACGUUUGUAUUUUAUUUAGCAAGGGGGCGUUUGUUCACAAAUCUACACUGCUAAUUUAUAUUCCCCCGGGGGAAUUGCAAAAAAAAAAGCAAAACGAAACAAGAAUAAAACACAAGAAUGGAGAGAUGCUAAAUUCUUGUUUGGGGCUUCGGUUUGUUUGUGUUCUGUUUGUUUUGUUUUGAUGCGUGGGCUGUGUGAUCACGAGAAACAAAAUCGGGAGAAGAGAGCUGAAAGAGGAAUGAAUUCUUUCUCUCCGUUUAUUUGCAUUCUUUUUUGGCUUGCCCUGCAGAUUUGCAAACAGUUUUUCCUUCUCUCCCUAUUACUUUUUUUUAUUACUUUGAACUUUAUGGCGGUUCCAGAAACGCACACGCACACACUCUCGACUUUCGGCACAUAUGAAAACUAUUGCACCUUAAAAAAAAAAUAAGUGAUGUAGUUAAGCGCACCUUAGUCGCAAAUUGCCCAAGUAAAUAGUCGCAUUUAUGUAUUUAUAUUAGCUGCUAAAACUUAAAACACGCGAGCGGUCGGUCAGGCGGUUUUUUUUAUUCUACAGCCUUGUUUUUGUUGGGCGGCCAACCGGCGUAAGCGCGUGCAAAUGACAAA